GUAAAAUAGCAAGUCCACUUCAGUGUCAAAUCUGAGUGUUACAUUAAAGCUUUUGCCGGUGUUCGUCGCAACCUGAAUCUUUUGGCCAGGUUUCAAAUCGUCGGGUAGUUGAAUUUCGUAGCUCUCUUUACCGGUCAGCCCUAAAGUUUCGGCGUUUUCUCCGUCCAGGAAUUGCAACGGAACGAUUCCCAUUCCCACCAAGUUUGAACGGUGGAUUCUUUCGAAUGA